UACGAAGGGGGCUAGCGUUGUUCGGAUUUACUGGGCGUAAAGGGCGCGUAGGCGGAUUUUUAAGUCAGGGGGGAAAUCCCAAGGCUCAACCUUGGAACUGCCUUUGAUACUGGGGAUCUUGAGUCCGGGAGAGGUGAGUGGAACUGCGAGUGUAGAGGUGAAAUUCGUAGAUAUUCGCAAGAACACCAGUGGCGAAGGCGGCUCACUGGCCCGGAACUGACGCUGAGGCGCGAAAGCGUGGGGAGCAAACAGG
rnacentral:rRNA from 1 species